rnacentral:rRNA from 1 species
AUGAACGCUAGCUACAGGCUUAACACAUGCAAGUCGAGGGGCAGCAUUUUAGUUUGCUUGCAAACUGAAGAUGGCGACCGGCGCACGGGUGAGUAACACGUAUCCAACCUGCCGAUAACUCCGGAAUAGCCUUUCGAAAGAAAGAUUAAUACCGGAUGGCAUACGAAUAUCGCAUGAUAUUUUUAUUAAAGAAUUUCGGUUAUCGAUGGGGAUGCGUUCCAUUAGUUUGUUGGCGGGGUAACGGCCCACCAAGACUACGAUGGAUAGGGGUUCUGAGAGGAAGGUCCCCCACAUUGGAACUGAGACACGGUCCAAACUCCUACGGGAGGCAGCAGUGAGGAAUAUUGGUCAAUGGGCGAGAGCCUGAACCAGCCAAGUAGCGUGAAGGAUGAAGGCUCUAUGGGUCGUAAACUUCUUUUAUAUGGGAAUAAAGUUUUCCACGUGUGGAAUUUUGUAUGUACCAUAUGAAUAAGGAUCGGCUAACUCCGUGCCAGCAGCCGCGGUAAUACGGAGGAUCCGAGCGUUAUCCGGAUUUAUUGGGUUUAAAGGGAGCGUAGGUGGAUUGUUAAGUCAGUUGUGAAAGUUUGCGGCUCAACCGUAAAAUUGCAGUUGAAACUGGGAGUCUUGAGUACAGUAGAGGUGGGCGGAAUUCGUGGUGUAGCGGUGAAAUGCUUAGAUAUCACGAAGAACUCCGAUUGCGAAGGCAGCUCACUAGACUGUCACUGACACUGAUGCUCGAAAGUGUGGGUAUCAAACAGGAUUAGAUACCCUGGUAGUCCACACAGUAAACGAUGAAGACUCGCUGUUUGCGAUAUACAGUAAGCGGCCAAGCGAAAGCAUUAAGUAUUCCACCUGGGGAGUACGCCGGCAACGGUGAAACUCAAAGGAAUUGACGGGGGCCCGCACAAGCGGAGGAACAUGUGGUUUAAUUCGAUGAUACGCGAGGAACCUUACCCGGGCUUAAAUUGCAACAGAAUAUAUUGGAAACAGUAUAGCCGUAAGGCUGUUGUGAAGGUGCUGCAUGGUUGUCGUCAGCUCGUGCCGUGAGGUGUCGGCUUAAGUGCCAUAACGAGCGCAACCCUUAUCUUUAGUUACUAACAGGUCAUGCUGAGGACUCUAGAGAGACUGCCGUCGUAAGAUGUGAGGAAGGUGGGGAUGACGUCAAAUCAGCACGGCCCUUACGUCCGGGGCUACACACGUGUUACAAUGGGGGGUACAGAAGGCGGCUACCUGGUGACAGGAUGCUAAUCCCAAAAACCUCUCUCAGUUCGGAUCGAAGUCUGCAACCCGACUUCGUGAAGCUGGAUUCGCUAGUAAUCGCGCAUCAGCCAUGGCGCGGUGAAUACGUUCCCGGGCCUUGUACACACCGCCCGUCAAGCCAUGAAAGCCGGGGGUACCUGAAGUACGUAACCGCAAGGAGCGUCCUAGGGUAAAACUGGUAAUUGGGGCU